AGGGUUCGAUUCUGGCUCAGGAUGAACGCUAGCUACAGGCUUAACACAUGCAAGUCGAGGGGCAGCAGUUGGAGUAGCAAUACUCAGAUGGCGACCGGCGCACGGGUGAGUAACACGUAUCCAACCUGCCGCUUACUCGGGGAUAGCCUUUCGAAAGAAAGAUUAAUACCCGAUGGUAUAAGGAGUUCGCAUGUUCUCUUUAUUAAAGAAUUUCGGUAAGCGAUGGGGAUGCGUUCCAUUAGAUAGUUGGCGGGGUAACGGCCCACCAAGUCUACGAUGGAUAGGGGUUCUGAGAGGAAGGUCCCCCACAUUGGAACUGAGACACGGUCCAAACUCCUACGGGAGGCAGCAGUGAGGAAUAUUGGUCAAUGGACGAGAGUCUGAACCAGCCAAGUAGCGUGAAGGAUGACUGCCCUAUGGGUUGUAAACUUCUUUUAUAAGGGAAUAAAGUGAGGGACGUGUCCCUUUUUGUAUGUACCUUAUGAAUAAGGAUCGGCUAACUCCGUGCCAGCCGCUGC
rnacentral:rRNA from 1 species